AGUGAACGCUGGCGGUAGGCCUAACACAUGCCAGUCGAACGGCAGCACAGUAAGAGCUUGCUCUUACGGGUGGCGAGUGGCGGACGGGUGAGGAAUACAUCGGAAUCUACUUUUUCGUGGGGGAUAACGUAGGGAAACUUACGCUAAUACCGCAUACGACCUACGGGUGAAAGCAGGGGAUCUUCGGACCUUGCGCGAUUGAAUGAGCCGAUGUCGGAUUAGCUAGUUGGCGGGGUAAAGGCCCACCAAGGCGACGAUCCGUAGCUGGUCUGAGAGGAUGAUCAGCCACACUGGAACUGAGACACGGUCCAGACUCCUACGGGAGGCAGCAGUGGGGAAUAUUGGACAAUGGGCGCAAGCCUGAUCCAGCCAUACCGCGUGGGUGAAGAAGGCCUUCGGGUUGUAAAGCUCUUUUGUUGGGAAAGAAAAGCAGCAGGUUAAUACCCCGCUGUUCUGACGGUACCCAAAGAAUAAGCACCGGCUAACUUCGUG
rnacentral:rRNA from 1 species